AGUGAACGCUGGCGGUAGGCCUAACACAUGCAAGUCGAACGGCAGCACAGUAAGAGCUUGCUCUUACGGGUGGCGAGUGGCGGACGGGUGAGGAAUACAUCGGAAUCUACUUUUUCGUGGGGGAUAACGUAGGGAAACUUACGCUAAUACCGCAUACGACCUACGUGUGAAAGCAGGGGAUCUUCGGACCUUGCGCGAUUGAAUGAGCCGAUGUCGGAUUAGCUAGUUGGCGGGGUAAAGGCGCACCAAGGCGACGAUCCGUAGCUGGUCUGAGAGGAUGAUCAGCCACACUGGAACUGAGACACGGUCCAGACUCCUACGGGAGGCAGCAGUGGGGAAUAUUGGACAAGGGGCGCAAGCCUGAUCCAGCCAUACCGCGUGGGUGAAGAAGGCCUUCGGGUUGUAAAGCCCUUUUGUUGGGAAAGAAAAGCAGCAGGUUAAUACCCCGCUGUUCUGACGGUACCCAAAGAAUAAGCACCGGCUAACUUCGUG
rnacentral:rRNA from 1 species